rnacentral:rRNA from 1 species
GAACGAUUAAAGCCCCUUCGGGGGUGUAUACAGUGGCGAAAGGGCGAGGAAUACGUUCCUACGUACCCCGAGGUCGGGGAUAGCCCGGGGAAACCCGGAGUAAUACCCGAUGUGGUCCGUCGCAAGGCGGAUCAAAGGCUUCGGUCGCCUUGGGAGCGGGGAACGUCCUAUCAGGUUGUUGGUGAGGUAAAGGCUCACCAAGCCGAAGACGGGUAGCGGGUGUGAGAGCACGACCCGCCGCAUCGGGACUGAGACACUGCCCGGACUCCUACGGGAGGCUGCAGCAACGAAUCUUCCGCAAUGCGCGAAAGCGUGACGGAGCAAUGCCGCGUGCAGGAUGAAGCCCUUCGGGGUGUAAACUGCUGUCAGGGUUUAGCAACACAAUGAGCAGACCCAAAGGAAGGGCCGGCUAACUUCGUGCCAGCAGCCGCGGUAAUACGAAGGGCCCGAGCGUUGCGCGGAAUCACUGGGCUUAAAGCGUACGUAGGCGGGCAUGCAGGUAUCUUGUGAAAUCCCUCGGCUCAACCGAGGAACUGCUUGGUAAACCGCAUGUCUUGAGGCAAGUAGGGGCUGUCGGAACGAUAGGUGGAGCGGUGAAAUGCGUUGAUAUCUAUCGGAACGCCGAAGGUGAAGACAGGCAGCUGGGCUUGUUCUGACGCUGAUGUACGAAAGCGUGGGGAGCGAACGGGAUUAGAUACCCCGGUAGUCCACGCCGUAAACGAUGUGCACUAGAUCGAGGGGGUU